rnacentral:rRNA from 1 species
AUUGAACGCUGGCGGCAGGCCUAACACAUGCAAGUCGAACGGUAACAGGAAGAAGCUUGCUUCUUUGCUGACGAGUGGCGGACGGGUGAGUAAUGUCUGGGAAACUGCCUGAUGGAGGGGGAUAACUACUGGAAACGGUAGCUAAUACCGCAUAACGUCGCAAGACCAAAGAGGGGGACCGUCGGGCCGCUUGCCAUCGGAUGUGCCCCGAUGGGAGGAGCUUGUUGGUGGGGUAACGGCUCACCAAGGCGACGAUCCCGAGCUGGUCUGAGAGGAUGACCAGCCACACUGGAACUGUGACCCGGUCCAGACUCCUACGGGAGGCAGCAGUGGGGAAUAUUGCACAAUGGGCGCAAGCCUGAUGCAGCCAUGCCGCGUGUAUGAAGAAGGCCUUCGGGUUGUAAAGUACUUUCAGCGGGGAGGAAGGGAGUAAAGAUAAUACCUUUGCUAAUUGACGUUACCCGCAGAAGAAGCACCGGCUAACUCCGUG